rnacentral:lncRNA from 1 species
CCCCUCCCGACUGCCACCCUUGCAAACUCCAGACUCCAGUACCAAACAGAAACCCAGCUCCUACUUUGUUGCUUUGUUGUUGGGGGUUCUGCUACUCUCGGGUUCCAGAAUGAGGAAAACCUGGUUGCCACAUGUUCAGUUUGCCUAUAAUACAUAGGCCCUAAAUGCCAAGUUUACUGUGUGUCUGGCAGUUGAUAGUGACAAAAGACCAACACAUGAUUCUUGGGCUGUCUAAUUAUCAGCUGACUAGGAAAGGAACAGAUCUCUUUUUUGAAAUUAUGGACAUCUGGCUGGCCUUUGUAUUUCCUGAAGAUGCUAUGAUGAUUGCCAUGGAGGAAAAAUCAUGAACUGUCUUUCCCACCUGUGAACCCUGUAACCUACAAAAACAACUGGCCUGGCAAA